CCUAGAGUUGUAGGCUUUGCCUGCUAUCUCUUACCCAUGUCUUUUGAGUACCUUCGUUCCCUCGGCAGGCUUCGCCCUGCCGAUUGGAACCAUUUAUAACCAUUUUAAGUUGCAAUCAGCGUCUGAAAAAAUUAAUAGUUA
rnacentral:misc_RNA from 1 species